UAGGGAAUCUUCCGCAAUGGACGCAAGUCUGACGGAGCAACGCCGCGUGAGUGAAGAAGGAUUUCGGUUCGUAAAACUCUGUUGUUAGAGAAGAACAGCGCAUAGAGUAACUGUUAUGCGUGUGACGGUAUCUAACCAGAAAGCCACGGCUAACUACGUGCCAGCAGCCGCGGUAAUACGUAGGUGGCAAGCGUUGUCCGGAUUUAUUGGGCGUAAAGCGAGCGCAGGCGGUCAAUUAAGUCUGAUGUGAAAGCCCCCGGCUCAACCGGGGAGGGUCAUUGGAAACUGGUUGACUUGAGUGCAGAAGAGGAGAGUGGAAUUCCAUGUGUAGCGGUGAAAUGCGUAGAUAUAUGGAGGAACACCAGUGGCGAAGGCGACUCUCUGGUCUGUAACUGACGCUGAGGCUCGAAAGCGUGGGUAGCAAACAGG
rnacentral:rRNA from 3 species